CUAUUCAUGGAAUCCCACCGUGUGGCCUGUCUCAAGCCUCAUGCAUUAUGGUGGUGUUUUGCUUGCACGGCACACAAACUGCAUAAAGAAUCCAUCUUUCUUCUUCUGAGUACUUCAAUUUUUAUUUUUAUUUUUAAGUUAAGUAUGAGGUUUGUUUUAGUGAAACCACUUUCAAUGUUGAUAUGGGUUUUCUUCAAUGGUCGUGUGCACUGCCAAAAGCCUGCUGUUACUAGUAUUGGCACUGUAUUUGAUUAUAGUUUGGUCACUGGAAGAGUUUCAAAGGCAGCCAUAAAAGCAGCAGUUGGCUGUUAAUGCUGAUCCUAGCUUCCAUGCUGAUACCAGUUACAGUGUUUUGAUGGGGUCAGUUGGAGCAGACACUGUACAGGGAGCAGCACAGCCUUUUCUGUGUGGAUCAGAAACUUUGAUAAUAUUACCUGGCCUGGUGGAAAUGUGGAUAAACCAUGUGGGUGUGUUGCUGCUGAUAAAAAAAAGCCCAUCGACAAUUGGAGUGCCAAGGAGGGUUAGUUUUAGCAAAUUUGUAAUGGGAAUAUCAAACAGUCACAAAAUCAAAGGACACCGUAUGGAUAUGGAUGCAGCAAGCAAGUUGGUUUCUUAUGAAGUUCCCUAUACACUUGUGGCUAUUGCUAAUGGACAAUUCAACCUCAGGUACAAUAAGCUUGUGGAAAUGGUUGCUGAGGAUGAAUAUUGCCUCCUUAGUAAUAAAUAUCAGUAAGAUAAAAAGAAGGCUGUGUAAAAUGGUCUAAUGAUACUAAAUAUUCUUGUAAGGUAGCGUCUAUCCCAGAAAUGUCAAAAUUGGAAAAUGGUGUAUCUGUAUAUUGUUGCAUGUUUGACAGACAUAUAGUUAAUGCAUUCAGUCUCCCUUGCUAAUUCCUUCGAACUGUGUCGUUGGUUGAUUGAUGCUGUUGUUGGAGACAUUACCAUUGUAACAAGAUGUACAAAGGUGGUCGGUUUCUUUCAGCCUUACAUUUCUACUUGUCUUGUCACUAUGACAUCCAUAAAAUGUAAGAAGUGAAAUGCUUUGGUGUUUCUCCAGACCAUUUACAGUGGAGAUGUGGUGUGCUACAGCAGUUUUAUUUGAAUUCUUUCCCUUAAUUGGAGUGGUUAUUGGGCUUCUUGACCAUCAGCUGAACAACAAUCUUUCAAGCCCUCCUAAGCUUGCAACAAUCUCACUGAUUAGCUUCAACAAUGUUUGAAGGCAAUCAGUAAGAAAACUUAUGACCUUUAUCUUCUGGUUGAUCAUUUUAAUUUCUAUUUUGUAAUAGCAUGAAAUGUUUACUUAUUUAACUAUAUUUGGAAACUCCUGAAGAGUAUGAAAGACCGCUGCAGUAAAGCCCAGUCAAUUGAGGGGUUGCUGCUAUUGUAGAUGAGCUUCCUCAGACAAUUGUUUCGAGUCAUCUGACUUUGUGAUUGUCAGAGAUUUUCCAAGAGCGGAUGGGGAUUUGUAAAUAAAACUAUUUGCAACAUACCUGUUUCACAAAGUUAAAAAUUCUGAGAAAAAUUAGAUAAUGAAAAUUAAAUCAAAGUAUAAACUAGCCUGGGAUGCCCUUUUAUCACAGUUUACUUUUUUGCUAACACAAGACCCUCACUUGUGGAUAUCCAGAGGGUGCUUCUCAAGUUUACAUUUUUGCUAAUGCCAAUGUCCUUAUUAACAGGAAUACAAAGCGGUCCUUGGAUGCAUCAUUUUUGUCUAAAGGAAACAAAGAUGCAACACAAAUUGGAAGGGUUUUAGAACCAGUGAAAGAUUGACCCAAGCAACCACACAUGAGUGAGAGUGGACUUGUGGCAGAAGAUACAAAUUGCAGUUAAUUCUGCGAAGUCGCAGUAGGUUUAGUUUCUUGACAACAUUUUUUGGCUCUCAACCCCGUCACAUAUGCUUAGAUGUAACGAAAGAAACAACACCUCCGUAGUUAAUGCUCUUGUUCAACAAUUCCCAGUUAAGGAUUGGAGCCAGGGCACUGCAGAAUCCAAUGUGGUUGGGUCUGAAAUAGCAACCAAUUGCAAAAUAAUCUGUAUUCCGUGGACGUGUUGACUUUUUGGUCUAUGAACUGACCUAGGGUCCGUUUAAAGGAUGCAUAAAUGAUAGGAGUGCGAUGGGCUUGAAGAUGUGGGAAAAAAACCAUUUGUUUGAAUUCUGAAUUCUACAGUUCAUGAUGAGUUCACUUAUUGAAUUAACAAUGAUAGUAUAAACCAACUUCCAAAUCUUAAACCAUGAAAACUUUUGAUGUAUCAAACACUAUUACAUGUACAGAUCAUA